UACGUAGGGAGCAAGCGUUGUUCGGAUUUACUGGGCGUAAAGGGCGCGUAGGCGGCAUAUUAAGUCAUCUGUGAAAUCUCCGAGCUUAACUCGGAACUGUCAGCUGAUACUGAUGUGCUAGAGUGCGGAAGGGGCAAUCGGAAUUCUUGGUGUAGCGGUGAAAUGCGUAGAUAUCGUUUGGAACGCCAAGGGUGAAAACAGGUUGCUGGGGACAUGCUGACGCUGAGACACGAAAGCCAGGGGAGCGAACGGG
rnacentral:rRNA from 1 species